GACAACUGGAUCUGAAGCGUAAUGAUGGUCUUCAGAAGGCCUCUCAUGGUGGUCUUGAUUCAGAGGUUUGAGAAGACUACCAAGCACCAGAGCCAGCUAACAGGUGGACCAAACAUCAAGCCAGAAUUCUGCAUGAGUCAGAAUUUAUGUCUUUUGAUAUUAUUGCCUAAUGCAACAAAUGGAAAAAAGCAUACUUUAUGACAACCUUAGCAGCAGAACACCAUGACUUUCUCCUGGGUAGACGAGAAAAAAAGUUUGGUAUCAACACCCAUCUAACAAUUAAGGUAAAAGAUAAAGUUUUAUGAUCCCUGCAUUCAGGUUAGAGUAUGGGGUAAGUUGACCGUUCUAUGGGUGUUUCUCAAAUGCAAGGUUGCAUCCUAUGGAGGCUGCGUCCAUCUUAGACCUGUCCUUCUGAGAUUUCGAGGUUAGAAUCCACCUCAAAAGCCAGAAUGAGAUGGUUUAGUUUGAUGUCCAAGGCAAUGUCAUAAUGGUUUCCGCCCCAGUGGUCAUGGCAUGAAAACUUUAAAGAGAGAAGUUGAAAAUUAGCAAUGCAUCACCAAAAAAAAAUCCAAUACUGUAGUACAGUGAAUAAAAGUCAUGUAUCAACAGUCUUUACAACAUGGACAGUUAAACCUUUUGUAAUUUAAUUAAAACAACAAAAGAGAAAACAAGCAGAUUGAGAUGUCCUUCAACGAUGCUUGAUGACGUGGCAGCCGAGACAUGCAGCAUUCUAGGACGCAGCCUUAUUAAAAAAAAAAAAAAUGGACGCAGCCUUAUUUAUUUUUAUUUUAUAUAUGUAUAAUGUACCCCCUGACUGAACUUGUAUUUCUUAUUAUUUUAAAAAAAUAUAUUAAAAAUAUUUUUAAAAGAACGCAGCUGUGCGUUUGAGAAACGACCGGAAACGACUUAUAUGUCGCGAGGCCAUCACGUGACCACAAUAUUUACCAGAAGACCGUUAUUUGCUCGAGUUCCCUCAACUUUUUUGUCGCAAAUAACAUUAUUAAUAACCUGUAAAUAAUAAAAUUUGUACACAUUACGUUCCUUUUCACGUUGUAAUAGUAUGUUUUUGGUUUAAUAGUCGGCUUUAAGUUAGUUUUUCUGUCAGUUUGAUCGUCAAAAUCUUGAAAGUUAUCUACAGCCACACAUCCACUGUAUACCAAGUUAUGAUGAUCAAUUAUGAGAAUGCAAAAUGAUUUAUAGAUCAGUAAACAAUCAACAAAAAGGUAAUGUCUUAAUUAAUAUAUUUCUGCUUUUGUUACUUAUUCAUGUAUUUGAAUUACAUCAUUCAAAAUCAAAUGUUAAUAAUUAUAGGGUUUCAACUUGUUGCAGCUUUACAAAAAAUGUAGAAUUUGUAGGAGCAUGGACAACUGAGUAACAAAGUCAUAUUAUGCAGAUGGGUGCUCAUGGUGGCCUCCAAAUAAAUACAUGGACAGGCUGCUAAAGAGGGUCAGGAUGAUGGAGAUGCAAGAGCCAAAGACAGCACGGACCAAACACCAGGCCAGAAUUCUGCAUGAGUCAGCUGUAAAAAACAAAAGAAUGAAACAGUACCUGCAUUUUAGUUUCCAGCCUUUUUCACAAAGUUGCCGACAACUGGAAGAAUGUCCCAAAUUGCUGAAAAAAGAAAUUCAGUAAGUCCUUAUAAAAGAGACAGUUUAAAAGAUUGAGUAAUUUUCACUCUAGAGACCCUGGGGUGACCAACAAGGACGAAUGAAAACUCCAGUGAGUGUCUCUAAGGUAGAUCCUAAUGCAGAUGGAUGGAAUGUUGAUCCGCCUAACAUGCAAGAUUUUCUGCACCGAGAACUUUGGAUGACCAUCAAGACAAGCACUCGUUUUGAGUCCUGAGACCCUGGGGUGACCACCGUGAACAAAUACAGACUGCAAAAAGGCAGUCUUGACGGUUCUAGGAUGAAUGCAAAUAAAGACUGACCACCUGACUUCAGCGGUCCAGUCUCUUGUGGGAAGCAGGUGUUUGUUACCUUAAAUACGGAUGAAGAGUGACGAAGAGGAUGAUGACUU